UCAGCUGCCUCACUUUCUCUUCAUCUCUCAUGCUUCUCCUACUCUUUCCGACUUCUCGCCUCUUUAACCUACUAGCAAUUACUACCACACACUCUCUCCCUUUUUUCUUCUCUCCUAGUUCUAUAGCGAAAUCGGCACACCGUCUUCUUUUUCCCCACUUUUUUUUUUUGGAUCUUCUCCUCUUUAAUUUCACUUAGAUGCAAAAAAUGGCUAUCUUCUCUAGAUAAUUUCAAUCCCACGUACAGUGGUGGUUGGCGCCUUUUUUUUUUGCCAUCUAUUCUCAGAUCUGGUAUUGCAUGAUACUUUUUCUUGGAAGAAUUUUAAGAGAAGAUGAGAUAUGAAGGAAAACAAUGAUCACUAUUGGAGAAGAUCUAUCUUUUUCCGGCUGAGUUUAUCAGUUCUUCAGUGCUCCUUCAUUUAUAUAUUGUGUAAUUAGUGUAUAAUAAUUAUAUAACAUGUGUAUAAUUAAUGUGUAUACAUUAUACACUUGAGUAUAGAUUUAUUAUACACAAGUUAUACAAAAAAAUGGACGUGAAGGGUUACGGAGGCUACGGAAUAAGGAGAAGGAGAAGACCAAAUGAUGGAUAAAUGAAAAAGAAGACUAGAAAAUCACUGUGGAGAGAUUUGAGGAUACAAACAAGUAGUGUUCUUCAAACUUGACUUUGCAGAAGAAGUUAUUGGAUGAUCUCUUUUGAACCACAUACGAGGUACCCGGAGAUACAUCCCGAAGACGACACUCGGAAGGAACUCGAAGACUUCAUCGAAUCACUGUUUGUAUUUACUUUCCGCAUUUUUUUUAUAACUGUACAAAAUAUAAACUCAUAGUAUAGUGAAAAAUUUAUUUUUGGA